AAAAGAUAGCAUAUAGGUAGUGCGUAAGGUUUUGAUCCUUAGUGGUGCAGGUUCGUAUCCUGUUCUUUUA
rnacentral:tRNA from 1 species